rnacentral:rRNA from 1 species
GCCUAAGGUAUGCUAGUCGAACGAUUCCUGUAUCUUCGGAUACAGGGAGUGGCAAACGGCUGAGUAACGCGUAGGAACCUACCCCAAACUCGAGUAUAGCCCCGCGAAAGCGGGGGUAAUCCUCGAUAGCCCGUGAAGUAUUUUACUUCACGGUAAAGCUUUUGCGGUUUGGGAUGGGCCUGCGUCCUAUCAGGUAGUUGGUGAGGUAAAUGCUCACCAAGCCUAUGACGGGUAGCUGGUCUGAGAGGAUGGUCAGCCAGACUGGGACUGCGACACGGCCCAGACUCCUACGGGAGGCAGCAACUAGGAAUUGUGCGCAAUGGACGAAAGUCUGACGCCGCGACAUCGCGUGGAGGAUGAAGGUCUUCGGAUUGUAAACUCCUUUUCUUACCGAACAAGUUCUGAGUGUAGGUAAGGAAUAAGUGCCUGCUAACCACGUGCCAGAAGCAUCGGUAAUACGUGGGGCACGAGCGUUAUCCGGAUUUACUGGGCGUAAAGAGAAGCGUAGGCGGCUCAAUAAGUUUGGUGUUAAAUCUUCCGGCUCAACCGGAAACAAGCACCGAAAACUAUCGAGAUUGAGUCGAGUAGGGAAGAGGGGAAUUCCUGGUGGAGCGGUUAAAUGCGUAGAUAUCAGGAGGAAUACCAAGGGCGAAGGCACCUCUUUGGACUCGUACUGACGCUGAGGCUCGAAAGCGUGGGUAGCAAAACGGAUUAGAUACCCGUGUAGUCCACGCCGUAAACGAUCCCUGUUAGAUGUA